rnacentral:rRNA from 1 species
GCGCGAAACCUUUACACUGCACGAAAGUGUGAUAAGGGGAUCCUCAGUGCUUAUGCUUAGCAUAGGCUUUUGCCAAGAGUAAGUAUCUUGGCGAAUAAGUGGUGGGCAAGACUGGUGCCAGCCGCCGCGGUAACCCCAGCGCCACAAGUGGUGGCCAGUUUUAUUGGGCCUAAAGCGUUCGUAGCCGGCUCGGUCUAUCUCAUGUGAAAUUGUUCGGCUCAACCGACCAGAUUGCAGGAGACACUGCCGAGCUUGGGACCGGAAGGAGUCAGAGGUAUGCUUGGGGGAGCGGUAAAAUGCUAUAAUCCCAAGUAGACCACCUGUGGCGAAGGCGUCUGACUAGGACGGAUCCGACGGUGAGGAACGAAAGCCAGGGGAGCAAUCCGG